rnacentral:rRNA from 1 species
CGUCAAGUCCUCAUGGCCCUUAUAUCCAGGGCUACACACGUGCUACAAUGGCCGGUACAAAGGGCUGCAAUAUCGCGAGAUGGAGCCAACCCCAAAAAGCCGGCCUCAGUUCGGAUUGGAGUCUGCAACUCGACUCCAUGAAGUUGGAAUCGCUAGUAAUCCCGGAUCAGCACGCCGGGGUGAAUACGUUCCCGGGCCUU